rnacentral:rRNA from 1 species
UAAUACGGAGGGGGCCAGCGUUGUUCGGAAUUAUUGGGCGUAAAGGGCGCGUAGGCGGUUUGGUAAGUCAGUUGUGAAAGCCCUCGGCUCAACCGAGGAAUUGCGACUGAUACUGCCGAACUUGAGUCCCGGAGAGGGUAGUGGAAUUCCCAGUGUAGCGGUGAAAUGCGUAGAUACUGGGAGGAACAUCAGUGGCGAAGGCGACUACCUGGACGGGUACUGACGCUGAGGCGCGAAAGCGUGGGGAGCAAACAGGAUUAGAUACCCUGGUAGUCCACGCCGUAAACGAUGGGUACUUGGUGUUGCGGGUAUCGACCCCUGCAGUGCCGGAGCUAACGCAUUAAGUACCCCGCCUGGGGAGUACGGUCGCAAGGCUG